rnacentral:rRNA from 1 species
UACGGGGGGGGCAAGCGUUGUUCGGAAUUACUGGGCGUAAAGGGCUCGUAGGCGGCCAACUAAGUCGGACGUGAAAUCCCUCGGCUUAACCGGGGAACUGCGUCCGAUACAGGAUGGCUAGAGUUCGGGAGAGGGAUGCGGAAUUCCAGGUGUAGCGGUGAAAUGCGUAGAUAUCUGGAGGAACACCGGUGGCGAAGGCAGCAUCCUGGACCGACACUGACGCUGAGGAGCGAAAGCCAGGGGAGCAAACGGG